AUUGAACGCUGGCGGCAGGCCUAACACAUGCAAGUCGAGCGAGCGGCGGACGGGUGAGUAAUGUGUGGGAAACUGCCCGCUGGAGGGGGGUAACUACUGGGAACCGUAGAUAAAAACCCAUAUCACUUGAUGUGCCCAGAUGGGAUUUUAUUGUGGGGGGGGUAAUGGCUCACCUAGGCGACGAUCCCUAGCUGGUCUGAGAGGCUGAGCAGCAACACUGGAACUGAGACACGGUCCAGACUCCUACGGGAGGCAGCAGUGGGGAAUAUUGCACAAUGGGCGCAGGCCGGAUGCAGCCAUGCCGCGUGUGUGAAGAAGGCCUUCGGGUUGUAAAGCACUUUCAGCGGGGAGGCGUUACCCGCAGAAGAAGCACCGGCUAACUCCGUGCCAGCAGCCGCGGUAAUUC
rnacentral:rRNA from 1 species